rnacentral:RNase_P_RNA from 1 species
AGAGUAGUCCAGGUGAUCGCUGGCGUCAGGGACUUGCCGUCCCUGGACGCUGGAGGAAAGUCCGAGCUCCGCAGGGCAGGGUGCUUCGUAACACGAAGUCGUGGUGACGCGAAGGAAAGUGCCACAGAAAGAAAACCGCCUGAUAAUAAGGCAAGGGUGAAAAGGUGCGGUAAG